rnacentral:rRNA from 1 species
UUAAGUCCGUAACGAGCGCAACCCUUGUCCUUGUUACCAGCACGUUAUGGUGGGCACUCUAAGGAGACUGCCGGUGACAACCGGAGGAAGGUGGGGAUGACGUCAAGUCAUCAUGGCCCUUACGGCCUGGGCUACACACGUGCUACAAUGGUCGGUACAAAGGGUUGCCAAGCCGCGAGGUGGAGCUAAUCCCAUAAAACCGAUCGUAGUCCGGAUCGCAGUCUGCAACUCGACUGCGUGAAGUCGGAAUCGCUAGUAAUCGUGAAUCAGAAUGUCACGGUGAAUACGUUCCCGGGCCUU